rnacentral:tRNA from 1 species
GCGGACGUGGCGGAAUUGGUAGACGCAAGGGACUUAAAAUCCCUCGAUGUAACCAUCGUGCGGGUUCGAUUCCCGCCGUCCGCACCA